GAUGAACGCUGGCGGCGUGCCUAAUACAUGCAAGUCGAGCGAACGGACGAGAAGCUUGCUUCUCUGAUGUUAGCGGCGGACGGGUGAGUAACACGUGGAUAACCUACCUAUAAGACUGGGAUAACUUCGGGAAACCGGAGCUAAUACCGGAUAAUAUUUUGAACCGCAUGGUUCAAAAGUGAAAGACGGUCUUGCUGUCACUUAUAGAUGGAUCCGCGCUGCAUUAGCUAGUUGGUAAGGUAACGGCUUACCAAGGCAACGAUGCAUAGCCGACCUGAGAGGGUGAUCGGCCACACUGGAACUGAGACACGGUCCAGACUCCUACGGGAGGCAGCAGUAGGGAAUCUUCCGCAAUGGGCGAAAGCCUGACGGAGCAACGCCGCGUGAGUGAUGAAGGUCUUCGGAUCGUAAAACUCUGUUAUUAGGGAAGAACAUAUGUGUAAGUAACUGUGCACAUCUUGACGGUACCUAAUCAGAAAGCCACGGCUAACUACGUGCCAGCAGCCGCGGUAGUACGUAGGUGGCAAGCGUUAUCCGGAAUUAUUGGGCGUAAAGCGCGCGUAGGCGGUUUUUUAAGUCUGAUGUGAAAGCCCACGGCUCAACCGUGGAGGGUCAUUGGAAACUGGAAAACUUGAGUGCAGAAGAGGAAAGUGGAAUUCCAUGUGUAGCGGUGAAAUGCGCAGAGAUAUGGAGGAACACCAGUGGCGAAGGCGACUUUCUGGUCUGUAACUGACGCUGAUGUGCGAAAGCGUGGGGAUCAAACAGGAUUAGAUACCCUGGUAGUCCACGCCGUAAACGAUGAGUGCUAAGUGUUAGGGGGUUUCCGCCCCUUAGUGCUGCAGCUAACGCAUUAAGCACUCCGCCUGGGGAGUACGACCGCAAGGUUGAAACUCAAAGGAAUUGACGGGGACCCGCACAAGCGGUGGAGCAUGUGGUUUAAUUCGAAGCAACGCGAAGAACCUUACCAAAUCUUGACAUCCUUUGACAACUCUAGAGAUAGAGCUUUCCCCUUCGGGGGACAAAGUGACAGGUGGUGCAUGGUUGUCGUCAGCUCGUGUCGUGAGAUGUUGGGUUAAGUCCCGCAACGAGCGCAACCCUUAAGCUUAGUUGCCAUCAUUAAGUUGGGCACUCUAAGUUGACUGCCGGUGACAAACCGGAGGAAGGUGGGGAUGACGUCAAAUCAUCAUGCCCCUUAUGAUUUGGGCUACACACGUGCUACAAUGGACAAUACAAAGGGCAGCGAAACCGUGAGGUCAAGCAAAUCCCAUAAAGUUGUUCUCAGUUCGGAUUGUAGUCUGCAACUCGACUACAUGAAGCUGGAAUCGCUAGUAAUCGUAGAUCAGCAUGCUACGGUGAAUACGUUCCCGGGUCU
rnacentral:rRNA from 1 species